rnacentral:lncRNA from 1 species
UUAAGGGGGCUCGCGGGUCUAAAUCAAUUUUUUUUAUUUAAUAUAGGAUUUCGAUAUAUUUUUCUAUAAAUGAACUUUAUCUUAUACUUAAUAGAAAAAUGAAAUAAAAAAAUGGGGACACCGUUCAUUUACGCUCACAAUCUGCCUUCGAAAGAAGCAUACAUUUUUGUUAAUGUCCUUUUUUUCUGUUGAACUAAUAGGAGAAAAAGCGGUAAUAUCGAAAUAAAAAAAGAACUAAAUUACAGAAAUCGCCUAAUUUUUACAAUUAUUUAGUUUAUGUACAGCUUAUUCGAAAACAACAAUAAAAAAUAUAGGUCACCGAUGAGUUAAAAAAGAUAUUUCAAUUUUAAUACCAAAAAAUGGCAUUUUUGCACCAAAGGGAGAUAAUUUGGAGCUUUUUCGAUGAUAUCUACAUUUUAAAAGUCACCUGGGGCCAACACGAAUUGAUUUUUUGAAUGAUUUUUGUUCCAUAUGAUAAAGUAACAACUACUUAAGGUAAUUAAUAAAUUUUGUAAUGAAAAAUAAAUGUUUAAUUUUUUUCUGAAAAUCUUAUACCCGCGAGCCUCCUUAAG